rnacentral:pre_miRNA from 1 species
UAGGUUUAUCUUAAGUCAAACUUCUUCAAGUUUGACCAAAUUUAUAGAAAAAUCUGCUAAGAUCUAAAAUAUCAAAUGAGUAUACUAUGGGAAAAAUAAUAAUUUCAUAUUUAAUAAAACUAAUUUGGAGUUCUAAAUGUUCGUAGAUUUUUCUAUAAGCUUUUUCAAACUUAAAGAAGUUUGACUUAAGACAAAGCUAG